GAUGAACGCUAGCUACAGGCUUAACACAUGCAAGUCGAGGGGCAGCAUGGGGCAGCAAUGUCCCGAUGGCGACCGGCGCACGGGUGAGUAACACGUAUCCAACCUGCCCAUGACCAGGGAAUAACCCGCGGAAACGCGGCCUAAUGCCCUAUGUGCUCCGAAGAGGACAUCUGAUUUGGAGUAAAGAUUCAUCGGUCAUGGAUGGGGAUGCGUCCGAUUAGGUAGUAGGCGGGGCAACGGCCCACCUAGCCUGCGAUCGGUAGGGUUCUGAGAGGAAGGUCCCCCAAUUGGAACUGAGACACGGUCCAAACUCCUACGGGAGGCAGCAGUGAGGAAUAUUGGUCAAUGGGCGAGAGCCUGAACCAGCCAAGUAGCGUGCAGGAUGACGGCCCUAUGGGUUGUAAACUGCUUUUUAGGGCGGGAAUAAGUGCUCCACGUGGUGGGCUAGUUGACGACGGUACCGACGAACGUAAAGUAACGGGACCGGUACUUAACGUUCCGUGACC
rnacentral:rRNA from 1 species